ACGUCCUUAGUUCAGUGGUAGAACGUCGGUCUCCAAAACCGAAUGUCAGGGGUUCAAAUCCUCUAGGACGUG
rnacentral:tRNA from 5 species